GGCUCCGUAGUUCAACUGGAUAGAAUAUCAGAUUUCGGCUCUGAUGGUUGCAGGUUCGAACCCUGCCGGGGUCAC
rnacentral:tRNA from 1 species